UGACGGCCUCCCGGGCCGCUGUUGGUCAUGCUGAGGGUGUUGCAGCCAAGGACGAAGAGCUCGUUCCGAGUGUUGGAGAUGCGGUAGACACCGGCCUUGUUGAAGUCCACGUCACCUUCGUGCUUCUUGAUGAUCUCGAAGCCCUCCCGGAAGCAGCCUUGGCCGAUGCCAAACGGGUAGGGGACCUCGACGCCGCCACAGCUCGGUUGGCAGCCUGACUCCAAGGUCAGGCUCUUCGGCAUCUCCGGCGGCUUCGGGGUGGUCGCGAGUGCCGCAAGAAGCAGCGCCAAGAAUUUUCUCCACAUUAUGUUUAUGCUUUGUUUCACAAUAAGCUAAUUGCAGCUGCUAGGUUAGCUUGCAUCGCAUGGUUGGGGUUCCAGCGUUUAAGUAAGGUGUAAUGCCGUGUACGUAGGGUAAUGACGUGAUAGUCAAAGUGGAGGGGCCCGCAAAUGUUAA